UACGUAGGGGGCAAGCGUUGCUCGGAAUUACUGGGCGUAAAGGACGCGUAGGCGGGAUGGCAAGUCGGUCGUGAAAUCCCUCGGCUCAACUGAGGAUCGUCGAUCGAUACUGCCGUUCUUGAGGAUUGCAGAGGAGACUGGAAUUCCCGGUGUAGCGGUGAAAUGUGUAGAGAUCGGGAGGAACACCGGUGGCGAAGGCGGGUCUCUGGGCAAUUCCUGACGCUGAGGCGCGAAAGCGUGGGGAGCAAACGGG
rnacentral:rRNA from 1 species